rnacentral:sRNA from 1 species
AGGUUAGAAGGCCAGUCUCAGUCCUUGUCCCUUAAAUGUCUGGGGAACCUGGGGGCUGGGCCCUCCAGCGUCCAUCCCUGGGACAGAAGCUUGCUUGUGUUCACACCCCAUAGGUUCCUGGAGUGACUGAGAGCCGCCCCUCAGUGCUACGGGGCGACCACCUGUUUGCCCUUUUGUCCUCGGAGACACACCAGGAGGACCCCAUCACAUAUAAGGGCUUUGUACACAAGGUGGAAUUGGACCGUGUCAAGCUGAGCUUUUCCAUGAGCCUCCUGAGCCGCUUUGUGGAUGGGCUGACCUUCAAGGUGAACUUUACCUUCAACCGCCAGCCGCUGCGAGUCCAGCACCGUGCCCUGGAGCUGACGGGGCGCUGGCUGCUGUGGCCCAUGCUCUUUCCUGU